UACGGGGGGGGUAAGCGUUGUUCGGAAUUACUGGGCGUAAAGGGCUCGUAGGCGGCCAACUAAGUCAGACGUGAAAUCCCUCAGCUUAACUGGGGAACUGCAUCUGAUACUGGAUGGCUUGGAUUCGGGAGAGGAAUGCGGAAUUCCAGGUGUAGCGGUGAAAUGCGUAGAUAUCAGGAGGAACACCGGUGGCGAAGGCGGGUCUCUGGGCCGAUAUUGACGCUGAGGAGCGAAAGCGUGGGGAGCGAACAGG
rnacentral:rRNA from 1 species